UACGUAGGCAGCGAGCGUUGUUCGGAGUUACUGGGCGUAAAGGGUGUGUAGGCGGUUGUUUAAGUUUGGUGUGAAAUCUCCCGGCUCAACUGGGAGGGUGCGCCGAAUACUGAAUGGACUCGAGUGUGGGAGAGGUGAGUGGAAUUCCUGGUGUAGCGGUGGAAUGCGUAGAGAUCCGGAGGAAGACCGGUGGCGAAGGCGGUCUGCUGGGCAGUUUCUGACACUGAUGCGUGACAGCGUGGGGAGCAACAGG
rnacentral:rRNA from 1 species